rnacentral:rRNA from 1 species
AUGGCUCCUACCGAGGCUGAGGCUGAUGUAGAGGAGGGAGAAGAGAAGAAGAAGAAGGAAAGGAAAGCAUCCGGAGCUGCUUUCACGUGGAUUCAAACUCACUUUGCGACGUGCCCUCCGGAUGCCACUGAUGACGUGAUCCCGACACAUGCUCGUGUCUACAUGUGGUAUGUUGUGUCGAGGACUUUGUUUCCUGACUCCACUGGCAAGAACGCUCCAUGGAUGUGGCUGAAGGCGUUGACCGUCUUCCAUAGCAAAUGGAGCUGGGGUUCAGCGACUCUUGCCUACUUGUACCGACAGGUAGUUGGUCUGUUUUGUGAUCAACUCAUUUCUUCAUUAGCAAUGCAAGCUUGCUGUCAAGUUAACAUUGUUUUUCUUUCAUAUGCAGGUGGAUGA